UGAUAUGGCCAUGCCACCGUGAACAAGCCCAAUCCUGUCUGAACUCGGAAGCUAAGCAGGGUCAGGUCUGGUUAGUACUUGGAUGGGAGACCACCUAGGAAGACCAGAUGCUAUAGGCA
rnacentral:rRNA from 1 species